rnacentral:rRNA from 1 species
GCUUAACACAUGCAAGUCGAGGGGCAGCAUGGUCUUAGCUUGCUAAGGCCGAUGGCGACCGGCGCACGGGUGAGUAACACGUAUCCAACCUGCCGUCUACUCUUGGACAGCCUUCUGAAAGGAAGAUUAAUACAAGAUGGCAUCAUGAGUCCACAUGUUCACAUGAUUAAAGGUAUUCCGGUAGACGAUGGGGAUGCGUUCCAUUAGAUAGUAGGCGGGGUAACGGCCCACCUAGUCUUCGAUGGAUAGGGGUUCUGAGAGGAAGGUCCCCCACAUUGGAACUGAGACACGGUCCAAACUCCUACGGGAGGCAGCAGUGAGGAAUAUUGGUCAAUGGGCGAGAGCCUGAACCAGCCAAGUAGCGUGAAGGAUGACUGCCCUAUGGGUUGUAAACUUCUUUUAUAAAGGAAUAAAGUCGGGUAUGCAUACCCGUUUGCAUGUACUUUAUGAAUAAGGAUCGGCUAACUCCGUGCCAGCAGCCGCGGUAAUACGGAGGAUCCGAGCGUUAUCCGGAUUUAUUGGGUUUAAAGGGAGCGUAGAUGGAUGUUUAAGUCAGUUGUGAAAGUUUGCGGCUCAACCGUAAAAUUGCAGUUGAUACUGGAUAUCUUGAGUGCAGUUGAGGCAGGCGGAAUUCGUGGUGUAGCGGUGAAAUGCUUAGAUAUCACGAAGAACUCCGAUU